UUUGAUAUAUUUUUAAAAUCUGGUUUGUUUAUAAUUAUGACUCUACUCUUCUAAUGCUCUAUGUUUCAACUUCUAGCCCUUAUCAAAUUCAUAAUAUAUGAGUCAUUCGUUGUGAAUAUAAGGAAUAAAUAAUUUGCUUAUAGGCUUUUCAUAAAAGAAAUAUCAAAUAUAUAUGUAGACAAAUAUAACUGCAGCACCAGGUAAAGUAACGUCGUCUACAAAUCUUGUUACGUUAAUUAUUCUAAUUCCAAAACAGCUAAUUUUUUUUUUUGACUACAGGCUUUCAAACCAAAAUAACGUAAAUGGUUUUAUAUGAUAAGACUAUAAAAACCUUAUAACGGAAAAAAGCUUGCAUGAACAUUCUUCAUAAUAGCUAAAAGCCUAAAACCAUUAGUAAAAC
rnacentral:lncRNA from 1 species